UGCGCCCAGGGUAUCAGCUUC
rnacentral:piRNA from 1 species